UACGGAGGGGGGCUAGCGUUGUUCGGAAUUACUGGGCGUAAAGCGCACGUAGGCGGCUUUGCAAGUUAGAGGUGAAAGCCCGGGGCUCAACUCCGGAAUUGCCUUUAAAACUGCAUCGCUAGAGUUGUGGAGAGGUAAGUGGAAUUCCGAGUGUAGAGGUGAAAUUCGUAGAUAUUCGGAAGAACACCAGUGGCGAAGGCGACUUACUGGACACAUACUGACGCUGAGGUGCGAAAGCGUGGGAGCAACAGGAUUAAGAAACCC
rnacentral:rRNA from 1 species